CCUCUAUUGUAUGGUGUAGGUUAGAGUUUUCAGAGAAACCACUCAUCAUUAUUCUCCUGGAAUUGGUUGUCUGGUGCGAAGACACAGAAGAUAGCCAAGUAAAUCAGCAAGAACCCGUUAGGUAGUGAUUAUCGCUAUUGGGUGAAGUUUAAAUGGUCGGUGACAUGUGACAGGAAAUGGCAGGGGUAGGACAGCAAGCUGGGGUUUGGGAGAUGACCCUCUGAGGUCCUGCAUGAAAAUUAACCCAGUCCUGAAGGUGCAGAGGCAGUCGUAAGAGGUGCGGGUUCAGCAGGUGGAAAGCCUGACACGAGCGAGUGGAAGGAGCAGAAGGACCUAGGCUGGAUGAAGCACAGUGCUUUCCACAAAGGAAGAAUACGUAAAAUCUGGUCCGGAAGUUCUGUAAAACACGCCAAGGAGACAUUUUAACUGCACCACAGAGGAUGAGUAGACAUUUCCAAAGCUGAGAAGAGGUAGAGUACAUAGCUGAGGACCUGGGCCUGCAGGUGUGUGCAGGUGCAUGUGGAGGAGAGUGAUGGCAAUGGGGCUGGAGAGAGGUGAGACUCGUCUGCCCUGCUGAGGAGCCCAGACCUUCACCUGCUGGCACCUGGAGUCGUUACUCACAAGAUGGGUGGAGCCAUUAAAACUGUCCCGUGUCAAUGACCUGAGGACUGGUCAUCUAGGGUGUGAAUUAUCCAAGUCUUGUGAUUCCAUGAUUUCUUUUUUUCAUUUCACUCAUCAUCAAUGCGAUCAAUGUCAUAAAAAUA
rnacentral:lncRNA from 1 species